rnacentral:rRNA from 1 species
AUGCGGAUACUUACGGAGAAGAACAGCAUGCUAUAUCGGGAGCUGGAGCAGUGUCGGACCCAGCUGACUGCUGUUACUGCCGAACUGGAGAAGUCCAAGGAGGCACCAACCGAUAAUGAUCGGUGGCACAACUGGAAGAGAAACUUAAGGCCGCGCAGGCAGACAAAGAACAUGCCGAAAGGCAAGAGGCCACUGGUCAUCAUGUACUGA